UUGGGUAGGGGAGCGUUCUGUAAGCCGUUGAAGGUGUGCUGUGAGGCAUGCUGGAGGUAUCAGAAGUGCGAAUGCUGACAUAAGUAACGAUAAUGCGGGUGAAAAACCCGCACGCCGGAAGACCAAGGGUUCCUGUCCAACGUUAAUCGGGGCAGGGUGAGUCGACCCCUAAGGCGAGGCCGAAAGGCGUAGUCGAUGGGAAACAGGUUAAUAUUCCUGUACUUGGUGUUACUGCGAAGGGGGGACGGAGAAGGCUAUGUUAGCCGGGCGACGGUUGUCCCGGUUUAAGCAUGUAGGCGGAGGUUCCAGGUAAAUCCGGUACCUUUUUAACGCUGAGGUGUGAUGACGAGGCACUACGGUGCUGAAGUAACAAAUGCCCUGCUUCCAGGAAAAGCCUCUAAGCAUCAGGUAACACGAAAUCGUACCCCAAACCGACACAGGUGGUCAGGUAGAGAAUACCAAGGCGCUUGAGAGAACUCGGGUGAAGGAACUAGGCAAAAUGGUGCCGUAACUUCGGGAGAAGGCACGCUGAUAUGUAGGUGAAGCGGUUUACCCGUGGAGCUGAAAUCAGUCGAAGAUACCAGCUGGCUGCAACUGUUUAUUAAAAACACAGCACUGUGCAAACACGAAAGUGGACGUAUACGGUGUGACGCCUGCCCGGUGCCGGAAGGUUAAUUGAUGGGGUUAUCCGUAAGGAGAAGCUCUUGAUCGAAGCCCCGGUAAACGGCGGCCGUAACUAUAACGGUCCUAAGGUAGCGAAAUUCCUUGUCGGGUAAGUUCCGACCUGCACGAAUGGCGUAAUGAUGGCCAGGCUGUCUCCACCCGAGACUCAGUGAAAUUGAACUCGCUGUGAAGAUGCAGUGUACCCGCGGCAAGACGGAAAGACCCCGUGAACCUUUACUAUAGCUUGACACUGAACACUGGUCCUUGAUGUGUAGGAUAGGUGGGAGGCUUUGAAGUGUGGACGCCAGUCUGCAUGGAGCCAUCCUUGAAAUACCACCCUUUAAUGGCUGGUGUUCUAACGUGGACCCGUUACCCGGGUUGCGGACAGUGUCUGGUGGGUAGUUUGACUGGGGCGGUCUCCUCCUAAAGAGUAACGGAGGAGCACGAAGGUUAGCUAAUCCUGGUCGGACAUCAGGAGGUUAGUGCAAAGGCAUAAGCUAGCUUGACUGCGAGAGUGACGGCUCGAGCAGGUGCGAAAGCAGGUC
rnacentral:rRNA from 1 species